AGAGUUUGAUCCUGGCUCAGGAUGAACGCUAGCGACAGGCUUAACACAUGCAAGUCGAGGGGCAGCACAGGUAGCAAUACCGGGUGGCGACCGGCGCACGGGUGAGUAACGCGUAUGCAACUUACCUAUCAGAGGGGGAUAACCCGGCGAAAGUCGGACUAAUACCGCAUGAAGCAGGGGCCCCGCAUGGGGAUAUUUGCUAAAGAUUCAUCGCUGAUAGAUAGGCAUGCGUUCCAUUAGGCAGUUGGCGGGGUAACGGCCCACCAAACCGACGAUGGAUAGGGGUUCUGAGAGGAAGGUCCCCCACAUUGGUACUGAGACACGGACCAAACUCCUACGGGAGGCAGCAGUGAGGAAUAUUGGUCAAUGGCCGAGAGGCUGAACCAGCCAAGUCGCGUGAGGGAUGAAGGUUCUAUGGAUCGUAAACCUCUUUUAUAAGGGAAUAAAGUGCGGGACGUGUCCCGUUUUGUAUGUACCUUAUGAAUAAGGAUCGGCUAACUCCGUGCCAGCAGCCGCGGUAAUACGGAGGAUCCGAGCGUUAUCCGGAUUUAUUGGGUUUAAAGGGUGCGUAGGCGGCCUUUUAAGUCAGCGGUGAAAGUCUGUGGCUCAACCAUAGAAUUGCCGUUGAAACUGGGGGGCUUGAGUAUGUUUGAGGCAGGCGGAAUGCGUGGUGUAGCGGUGAAAUGCAUAGAUAUCACGCAGAACCCCGAUUGCGAAGGCAGCCUGCCAAGCCAUGACUGACGCUGAUGCACGAAAGCGUGGGGAUCAAACAGGAUUAGAUACCCUGGUAGUCCACGCAGUAAACGAUGAUCACUAGCUGUUUGCGAUACACUGUAAGCGGCACAGCGAAAGCGUUAAGUGAUCCACCUGGGGAGUACGCCGGCAACGGUGAAACUCAAAGGAAUUGACGGGGGCCCGCACAAGCGGAGGAACAUGUGGUUUAAUUCGAUGAUACGCGAGGAACCUUACCCGGGUUUGAACGCAUUCGGACCGAGGUGGAAACACCUUUUCUAGCAAUAGCCGUUUGCGAGGUGCUGCAUGGUUGUCGUCAGCUCGUGCCGUGAGGUGUCGGCUUAAGUGCCAUAACGAGCGCAACCCUUGCCACUAGUUACUAACAGGUAAAGCUGAGGACUCUGGUGGGACUGCCAGCGUAAGCUGCGAGGAAGGCGGGGAUGACGUCAAAUCAGCACGGCCCUUACAUCCGGGGCGACACACGUGUUACAAUGGCGUGGACAAAGGGAGGCCACCUGGUGACAGGGAGCGAAUCCCCAAACCACGUCUCAGUUCGGAUCGGAGUCUGCAACCCGACUCCGUGAAGCUGGAUUCGCUAGUAAUCGCGCAUCAGCCAUGGCGCGGUGAAUACGUUCCCGGGCCUUGUACACCCCGCCCGUCAAGCCAUGGGAGCCGGGGGUACCUGAAGUCCGUAACCGAAAGGAUCGGCCUAGGGUAAAACUGGUGACUGGGGCUAAGUCGUAACAAGGUAGCCGUACCGGAAGGUGCGGCUG
rnacentral:rRNA from 1 species